rnacentral:rRNA from 1 species
AUUGAACGCUGGCGGCAGGCCUAACACAUGCAAGUCGAGCGGAGGAAGGGAGCUUGCUCCUGGAUUCAGCGGCGGACGGGUGAGUAAUGCCUAGGAAUCUGCCUGGUAGUGGGGGAUAACGUCCGGAAACGGGCGCUAAUACCGCAUACGUCCUGAGGGAGAAAGUGGGGGAUCUUCGGACCUCACGCUAUCAGAUGAGCCUAGGUCGGAUUAGCUAGUUGGUGGGGUAAAGGCCUACCAAGGCGACGAUCCGUAACUGGUCUGAGAGGAUGAUCAGUCACACUGGAACUGAGACACGGUCCAGACUCCUACGGGAGGCAGCAGUGGGGAAUAUUGGACAAUGGGCGAAAGCCUGAUACAGCCAUGCCGCGUGUGUGAAGAAGGUCUUCGGAUUGUAAAGCACUUUAAGUUGGGAGGAAGGGCAGUACGUUAAUACCUUGCUGUUUUGACGUUACCAACAGAAUAAGCACCGGCUAACUUCGUG